rnacentral:rRNA from 1 species
GACGAACGCUGGCGGCGUGCUUAACACAUGCAAGUCGAACGAUGAAGCUAGCGCUUGCUCUGGUGGAUUAGUGGCGAACGGGUGAGUAACACGUGAGUAACCUGCCCCGAACUCUGGGAUAACUGCUGGAAACGGUAGCUAAUACCGGAUAUGACCAAUGAAGGCAUCUUCUGUUGGUGGAAAGAAUUUCGGUUCGGGAUGGACUCGCGGCCUAUCAGCUUGUUGGUGAGGUAACGGCUCACCAAGGCGACGACGGGUAGCCGGCCUGAGAGGGUGAUCGGCCACACUGGGACUGAGACACGGCCCAGACUCCUACGGGAGGCAGCAGUGGGGAAUAUUGCGCAAUGGGCGAAAGCCUGACGCAGCAACGCCGCGUGCGGGAUGACGGCCUUCGGGUUGUAAACCGCUUUCAGCAGGGAAGAAGCCGCAAGGUGACGGUACCUGCAGAAGAAGCACCGGCUAACUACGUGCCAGCCGCCGCAGUAA